UCUCCGUAGGUGAACCUGCGGAGGGAUCAUUACUGAGUGAGGGUCUCCGGGCCCGACCUCCAACCCCAUGUGAACCGAAACCUGUUGCUUCGGGGGCGACCCUGCCGUUCGCGGCGUGGGGCCCCCGGAGCCCAUCAAACCCUGCGUAACUAAGUCGUCGGAGUUUAAACAAAUUAAACAAAACUUUCAACAACGGAUCUCUUGGUUCGGGCAUCGAUGAAGAACGCAGC
rnacentral:misc_RNA from 1 species